GGCUGGUCUGAGUGCAGAGGUGUUUGCAAAUAAUUGAUCACAACCAGUAAAAGAUUCCUGUGUUCCUUAUCCACUCCCACUGUUUCACUUGACUAGCCUAAA
rnacentral:Y_RNA from 1 species